rnacentral:tRNA from 3 species
GAUCCCGUAGCUCAACUGGAACAGAGCUCAGGCCUCCGAAGCCUGUGGUUGCCGGUUCGAGUCCGGCCGGGAUCGCCA